rnacentral:sRNA from 1 species
CCUUGGUUUGGUGCGAUCGCGUGAGACGCGUCAGGUGCUUGAUUUCCCUGAGUCCCGGUGCCUCAGCUGCCCAGUGCCCACGUUCGUAAGAAGGCAACAAGUUCUUCUCCUCUACAGAAGGAUUUUGCAAACAAUUCGGCAAGUUCCAAAUGAUUCUGAUCGCAAAUACCUGAAAGAUUGGGCAAGAGAAGAAUUCAAAAGAAACAAAAGUGCCACCGAAGAGGAUACAAUCCGGAUGAUGAUUACUCAAGGCAAUAUGCAGCUCAAGGAGUUAGAAAAAACACUUGCUUUAGCAAAAUCUUAACUAUAGCAUUAUUCUGAAGGAUUUUCAAAGUCUCCAUGUGUUUUGUUGCAUUUAGGAUUAACAAUGGACAGCACAAAGCCCAGUCUUACUAUUUAUAUGUACAGUAUUUGGUGAUAGAGAGCAAAGGAAAAACACAUCAGAACAGUUGCCUUAACUGAAAAACAUACCCUGCAUUUUGAAAAUGUUUAUGGAUGUCUCAGCAGUUUUUAAAAGAAGAAAAAAACCACUAACAAAUGGUCAGUAGAUGCUGGACACAAUCAUUAGGGAAGUGUAAAUCAAAACUACUAUGAGGCCGGGCGCAGUGGCUCAUGCUUGUAAUCCCAGUACUUUAGGAGGCUGAGGUAGGUGGAUUACUUGAGGUCAGGAGUUCAAGACCAGCCUGGACAACAUGGUGAAACCUCAUCUCUACUAAAA